CCUUGAAAUACCACCCUUUAAUGUUUGAUGUUCUAACGUUGGCCCCUGAUCGGGGUUGCGGACAGUGUCUGGUGGGUAGUUUGACUGGGGCGGUCUCCUCCUAAAGAGUAACGGAGGAGCACGAAGGUUGGCUAAUCCUGGUCGGACAUCAGGAGGUUAGUGCAAUGGCAUAAGCCAGCUUGACUGCGAGCGUGACGGCGCGAGCAGGUGCGAAAGCAGGUCAUAGUGAUCCGGUGGUUCUGAAUGGAAGGGCCAUCGCUCAACGGAUAAAAGGUACUCCGGGGAUAACAGGCUGAUACCGCCCAAGAGUUCAUAUCGACGGCGGUGUUUGGCACCUCGAUGUCGGCUCAUCACAUCCUGGGGCUGAAGUAGGUCCCAAGGGUAUGGCUGUUCGCCAUUUAAAGUGGUACGCGAGCUGGGUUUAGAACGUCGUGAGACAGUUCGGUCCCUAUCUGCCGUGGGCGCUGGAGAACUGAGGGGGGCUGCUCCUAGUACGAGAGGACCGGAGUGGACGCAUCACUGGUGUUCGGGUUGUCAUGCCAAUGGCACUGCCCGGUAGCUAAAUGCGGAAGAGAUAAGUGCUGAAAGCAUCUAAGCACGAAACUUGCC
rnacentral:rRNA from 1 species